CCUACGGGAGGCAGCAGUGGGGAAUAUUGGACAAUGGGCGCAAGCCUGAUCCAGCAAUACCGCGUGUAUGAAGAAGGCCCGAGGGUUGUAAAGUACUUUCAAUUGUGAAGAGGGGAUAGUUAGUUAAUAGCAUUCUAUCCUGACGUUAACUUUAGAAGAAGCACCGGCUAAUUCAGUGCCAGCAGCCG
rnacentral:rRNA from 1 species